UGGCAUCAUCCAGUCCAUCUUUGUUCUGCUUAGAAUUGAUGUCUGAUCUUCCAUUGGCUCCUUUGUCUCCCAGAUGUGAAGCAAGCUUCUCUUUUGUUCCUGCCUCAUGUGAAUCAUGCUUUCCUUUCCUGCAUACAGUGGUGCUAAUGCUAUUGAUAAGACAUAAGACAUUAUGGAGUGAUGGAACUGCCUGAACUUACGAUGCAGCUCUUAUCGCCUCCUCAAUCGAACGAUCAUAAGCAGCUGCAUAAAAAUAAAUCCAAGGUAAGAAAAAAAAGAUGGUCUUUCAAACAUUUUUUAAUACAAUCAUAACAGAUGUAGACACUGAGAGCAGCAUGCACCAGAUAUCACAAAUGCUAUUAUAUUGUACAGUUGUGUUGUAUUAGGAUCAUCACUGUUACACUGGACUUGAACCCAAUGGUUAAAGGUAGUAAAAGCACAUUAAUGGAUGUAUCUGUAGAUAAUGUCAGAAUGAGAAUCUGGCAGAAGAAAGGAGGGAUGAAAUUGCAACAUGACAUUCAGCACACCCAUCAAGCUGUGACAGUUGGACACCUCUUGGCCAGAUAAAAGUAAUCAUAAUAAGAUUUGACUUUUGAUGCAUUUUAUAUUGAUGAAAUGAUUAACAAAGAAGAUCCUUACAGUAACUGUAGUUGACAAGCCGACGAUUACGCAAUGAACGGCUUUGGAAACUGUUAGCAAAAGCUAAAAGUUUGUCCUUCUUCUCCUGACGUUUUAAGUCCCUUUCUUUCUUCUGCAGAGUAAAUCAGGUAAC